rnacentral:rRNA from 1 species
GAUGAACGCUGGCGGCGUGCCUAAUACAUGCAAGUCGAGCGAACGGACGAGAAGCUUGCUUCUCUGAUGUUAGCGGCGGACGGGUGAGUAACACGUGGAUAACCUACCUAUAAGACUGGGAUAACUUCGGGAAACCGGAGCUAAUACCGGAUAAUAUUUUGAACCGCAUGGUUCAAAAGUGAAAGACGGUCUUGCUGUCACUUAUAGAUGGAUCCGCGCUGCAUUAGCUAGUUGGUAAGGUAACGGCUUACCAAGGCAACGAUGCAUAGCCGACCUGAGAGGGUGAUCGGCCACACUGGAACUGAGACACGGUCCAGACUCCUACGGGAGGCAGCAGUAGGGAAUAUUGCGCAAUGGGCGAAAGCCUGACGGAGCAACGCCGCGUGAGUGAUGAAGGUCUUCGGAUCGUAAAACUCUGUUAUUAGGGAAGAACAGAUGUGUAAGUAACUGUGCACAUCUUGACGGUACCUAAACAGAAAGCCACGGCUAACUACGUG